rnacentral:snRNA from 1 species
AUUGCUUCUCGGCCUUUUGGCUAAGAUCAAAGUUUAGUCUCUGUUCUUAUCGAAUUGACCUUCGAUAGAGAUUCGAAUGAAUCUCGUUAGGGUCACUUGAUUUUGGAGACCGGACGAGGUGGUGGGCUUACCCGCACCUCGUCACGGAUCGGCAAAUAAAGGGAGCGUUAGGCCCCGUUUAU